AUUAGCUACAGUGGCCUCCUGGGAUCACCAUUUGCAAUAUAAGCCCAGUGACUUAAAGGAGAGAGUGGAGAGGAAUCAUGGUAAGGCUUGUAACUCCAAGGAUGAAGAACAACCAGGGCUUGGGGAUGGGUGAAGAAUCUUCUGAAGAAGUGACCUGGCUACUCUUAUAAAGCCUUCCAGAAUGCAGAGGGACCCUGGGAAGAGCUGGAGAAGAGAAGAGGAAGAAGGAUGGGAGACGGAAGAUUCUCAGUUGGAAAAAAAAACAGCAGCAAGAAACUUUGUUUACCUUGUUGGUCAGAUUAAAUUUCUGCCACCAAAAGAAAUCGAGAUUGAAAAGCUAAGUUUAAUUAUGGAGAAAAUAAAGUUACAUUUUUUUUUGCACAACAAAGUCAUUGACUAUGAAAUUUAUAAGCAUCAUAUGAAACAGACAAUCUUAUGAAACUUACCAAGGAUGUUUCCAGCAACCCCUUGUUUAGGGAACAGAGUAAAGGGGAGAAAAGGUAGCAUUUUCAAAUCUCAAGAAAGUGUUUUAUGUCAGAAUUCAAUUUGUCCCAGAGCACAGCUGUCAAGAGCUUUGUAAAUCUAGGCCUCUAGGAGGAGAGGGCUAAAGCACUUUCAGGAUAAAGGCUAGAAGCCUAAGGCCCUGAUCAUUUGGGCAAUCCUUGUUAUUGCAUUUGUUGUUCCAUUCUCUGACACUUCUAAAAGGCUGUGGAAUCUCCAGAUGUGUUCAUAAAAUAGUGGUAGCAAUUAUUCAUUGCUUCUAGGAAAGGGAAAUGGAUAUGUUACCAACAAAGCCAGUCCCCAUACAAAUGGAGUCUUUCCCCGUUUAGUGCUGUGAAGCCAAUAUACAAAACCAAAAGUGAGUGUCAAGUAGUGCAGGCUUUAUUCCAUGGCCACUGUAUUAGUCAGGGUUCUCUUAGAGGGACAGAACUAAUAGGAUAGAUGAUAGAUAGAUGAUAGAUAGAGAGAUAGAUAGAUAGAGAGAUAGACAGAUAUAAAGGGAAUUUAUUAAGUAUCAACUUACAUGAUCACGAGGUC
rnacentral:lncRNA from 1 species